UGCUGGCGCGUGCCCGCCGCUUCCGGGGGGCGGUCCGGGCCGCGCCGUGCGGGUAAGUUUGGCGGAGCGGGCGGGGAGCGGCCGUGGCGGCGACAUGUUCGGCAACGGGCUCAGCUACAGCGAGCAGGGGGGAGAGGCGGCGCCCGAGCUGGUGCAGGAGGCAGCGCCCACCACGACACCUUCGGCUCCCGCGGCCUUCGGGCUCUUCAGCAGCGACACCAAGAAAAAUGAAGACCUAAAACAGAUGUUGGAAAGCAGUAAAGAUUCUGCAAAGCUGGAUGCUAUGAAGAGGAUUGUUGGGAUGAUUGCAAAAGGCAAAAAUGCUUCUGAGCUCUUUCCUGCUGUUGUGAAGAAUGUUGCCAGUAAAAAUAUUGAGAUAAAAAAGCUUGUAUAUGUUUAUCUGAUGCGUUAUGCAGAGGAGCAACAAGAUCUAGCAUUGUUAUCCAUCAGUACUUUCCAGCGUGCUUUAAAAGAUCCUAAUCAGUUAAUCCGCGCAAGUGCCUUAAGAGUUUUAUCCAGUAUCCGAGUCCCAAUUAUUGUUCCUAUUAUGAUGCUUGCUAUUAAAGAAGCCUCUUCUGAUUUAUCUCCUUACGUGAGGAAGAACGCAGCCCAUGCAAUCCAAAAACUGUACAGUCUUGAUCCAGAGCAAAAGGAAAUGUUAAUUGAAGUGAUAGAAAAGCUUUUGAAGGAUAGAAGUACGCUGGUAGCUGGGAGCGUUGUGAUGGCAUUUGAGGAAGUGUGUCCAGACAGAAUAGAUCUGAUUCACAAGAACUACCGAAAGCUUUGUAACUUGUUGGUUGACGUGGAGGAGUGGGGUCAAGUUGUGAUAAUCCACAUGCUAACUCGAUAUGCACGUACACAGUUUGUAAGCCCAUGGAAGAAUGAUGAGGUGGUAGAAGAAUAUAGUGAAAAUAAUUUCUAUGAAUCUGAUGAAGAACAGAAAGAAAAGGAUCGGAAGGUGAAAAACACCUACACUAUGGACCCAGAUCACAGGCUGCUGUUACGAAAUACGAAGCCCUUACUUCAAAGCCGAAAUGCUGCUGUGGUAAUGGCAGUUGCACAGCUUUACUGGCAUUCAGCACCAAAAUCUGAAGCUGGUCUUGUUUCUAAAUCCUUGGUGCGUUUACUGCGUAGUAAUAGGGAGGUGCAGUAUAUUGUUCUGCAAAAUAUUGCCACGAUGUCAAUUCAGAGGAAGGGCAUGUUUGAACCUUAUAUGAAGAGUUUCUAUGUUAGAUCAACUGAUCCAACAAUGAUCAAAACACUGAAGCUUGAAAUCUUGACAAAUUUAGCAAAUGAAGCCAACAUAUCUACGCUGCUUCGAGAAUUUCAGACUUACGUGAAAAGCCAAGAUAAACAGUUUGCUGCAGCUACAAUUCAGGCUAUAGGCAGAUGUGCAACUAACAUCACCGAAGUGACUGACACAUGCCUUAAUGGCCUCGUAUGUUUGCUGUCCAACAGGGAUGAAAUUGUAGUUGCUGAAAGUGUUGUUGUCAUUAAGAAACUGCUGCAAACCCAGCCAGCGCACCAUGGUGAAAUUAUUAAGCAUAUGGCCAAACUCUUGGAUAACAUUACAGUUCCGGUAGCCAGAGCCAGUAUUCUCUGGCUUAUCGGUGAAUAUUGUGAACGAGUUCCGAAGAUCGCACCUGAUGUCUUGAGAAAGACAGCCAAGACCUUCACCAAUGAAGACGAUCUUGUGAAGUUACAGAUCUUAAAUUUGGGCACGAAACUCUAUUUAACAAACUCAAAGCAGACAAAAUUGCUUACCCAGUAUGUAUUAAAUCUCGGCAAGUAUGAUCAAAGCUACGACAUCAGAGACCGUACAAGAUUUAUUAGGCAGCUUAUUGUUCCGAAUGAGAAGAGUGGAGCUUUAAGCAAAUAUGCCAAAAAAAUUUUUCUGGCACAGAAACCUGCCCCAUUGCUUGAGUCUCCUUUUAAAGAUCGGGAUCAUUUCCAGCUUGGCACCUUGUCUCACACGCUGAACAGCCGAGCCACUGGCUACCUGGAGCUGUCCGAUUGGCCAGAGGUGGCACCUGACCCCUCUGUCCGAAAUGUCGAUGUAGCCGAGUCGGCAAAGGAAUGGACUGGAAUUCUAGGUAAGACGAAGAAAGAGAAACCUGCUGAAAAGUUCUACUCUGAAUCAGAAGAGGAGGAAGAUGAAUCUGCCAGUACCAGUUCAUCAGAGAGCGAGUCUGGGAGUGAAAGUGAGAAGGAAGAUAAGGAGGAAGGCAGCAGUGAUGACAGUAGUGGAAGUUCUUCCAGUGAAGCAUCUAGUGACACUGAAUCAGAGAGCAAAGAAAGUGCUGCAAAGAAAACAUCUAGAGCUGCUGAUGAAAGUGAUUCAGAGAACAUUAAAAGGAAAGCAAAGGGGAUCUCCAAAGAAAGCAGCACAUCUGGUUCCUCUGAUACAGAGUCCGUUUCAUCAGAAGAAAGUUCUUCAGACUCCAAGUCAGAAUCAGACUCAAAAAGUGACUUUGAAUCUGGAAAAUCUAGAAGUCCUACCUCUAGUAAGAAAGAAGAAAAACCAGUACAAGAUAGAAAAGCUCCAAAUAAACAAGAUGUUUAUCUUUUAGAUUUAGAUGACUUCUGUCCUGUGACAACUCCUGUGGCAGUUCCAACAGCAGCUGUUUUGUCCCCAAGUGUAACAGCUGACCUAGAGGGAUUAAGUCUUUCAAGUUCAUCAGUCAUUGAUGUCACUACCCAAGUCUCUGUGCCAACAAAAACACAUGAACUGCUUCAUCGAAUGAGUGGAAAAGGAUUAGCAGCUCAUUAUCACUUCUCAAGACAACCAGGCAUUUUUGGUGAUCGUAUGGUGUUUGUGCAAGUGACAGUAACAAAUACAACUGAUCAGAAGAUAGAGAAUAUUCACAUCAAGGAGAAGAAAUUGCCUCCAGGCAUGAGGAUGCAUGAGUUUAAUCCAAUAGAGUGCCUUGAGCCUGCAGGAUCCAUCACCGUUUCAAUGGGUAUUGACUUCUGUGAUUCUACUCAGAUGGCCAGUUUCCAGUUAUGCACAAAGGAUGAUUGUUUUGAUGUUAACAUUCAACCCCCUGUUGGAGAACUACUUUUGCCUGUGACUAUGUCUGAGAAAGACUUUAAGAAGGAACAAGCCUGCCUCUCUGCUUUAUACCUGCUCAGCAAACCAAGGGAUGCUGACAGGAAUGAAUGAGACAUCUGCUACAAUAGCUGUUGCUCCGCAGAACUCUACUAGACUUGUAAUAAUUGAGAGAAUAGUGAAAGCAGCAAACCUGGGUGUAGUCCCUUCUGGUCACGAUAACAUACUCAGGUUUGCAGCUAAGACUGUGCACAGUGGGUCACUGAUGCUCGUCACAGUGGAGAUGAAGGAGAGCUCUACAGCACAGCUCAUCAUAAACACCGAGAAAACCGUGAUUGGUUCUGUUCUGCUGCGGGAGCUGAAGCCUGUCCUGUCCCAGGGGUAACCUGCUUACAUCUGGACUUCAGAAUCUGGCACACAACAAAAGUGCCUGGCAUCCACUACUGCUGCCUUUCAUUUAUAAUAAUAGCCCUUCCAUCUGGCAGUGGGGGAAGAAUACACUCUUGACAUUCUUGUCUUCUGCUUUAGAAUGCUAGUGUGUAUCUAUCAUGUAUGCAAGUUGUUUCCUUUUAUUCUGCUUGCUAACCAAAGAACAUAUAUUUUACUGUCACUUAUCUGCGCUUUAAAAUGUAUUUCCCAUUUGAUUUACCCUAGUCCUUCCCUCUCUGCUCCCUUCCCCUGCUACCUUUCUUCCCCAUCAGUUUUCCCCACUGUAGUGGACAAAUACUAGAUAAUAAAGUUCAAGGGAAAUCACACUGCUUGAAAACUGAAUUAAAAUGGCAGGUAGGUUCCAGCAGCAUAUACAAAAACCAUGUGGUUCAGAGAGGUUUUUCUGCAUAAGUGUAAAAAUACAGUAAGUACAGCAAAAUGAUGUUUGCUUUCUGUAAAUGAUUGUAGACCUGAACAUGUCUAUUAACAUUGUUCCACCUACUGCCAGUUUCUCAAAUAUUUCUGUUAAGAUGCCAAUAAAGUAGUGCUAAGAGCA